CUACGGGCGGCUCCAGUCGGGAAUAUUGCGCAAUGGAGGAAACUCUGACGCAGUGACGCCGCGUAUAGGAAGAAGGUUUUCGGAUUGUAAACUAUUGUCGUUAGGGAAGAUAAAAGACAGUACCUAAGGAGGAAGCUCCGGCUAACUACGUGCCAGCAGCCGUGGUAAUACGUAGGGAGCAAGCGUUAUCCGGAUUUAUUGGGUGUAAAGGGUGCGUAGACGGGAAGACAAGUUAGUUGUGAAAUCCCUCGGAUUAACUGAGGAACUGCAACUAAAACUAUGUUUCUUGAGUGUUGGAGAGGAAAGUGGAAUUCCUAGUGUAGCGGUGAAAUGCGUAGAUAUUAGGAGGAACACCGGUGGCGAAGGCGACUUUCUGGACAAUAACUGACGUUGAGGCACGAAAGUGUGGGGAGCAAACAGGAUUAGAUACCCUAGUAGUC
rnacentral:rRNA from 1 species